GGUUCUGCUUGGAUUCUGCCAGACAGACAAGGCAGAGACUUUCCAUCAACUGGUCCAAUUUUAGCUUGAAAAAAACCACCUUUGCUGCACAUUGAAAUGACACAAUAUGGGGAGGGAAUCCUGCAGGAAUCAAUGAACGACAACUCCACUUACCUGUCCUGCUGUGCUGAGAGCUUAUCUGGUCUUGAGCCAGUGCUGCCUUGCCUUGUCCCCAGUGCUGUGUGGAUCUGCACUGAACCCUUUGGCCUGAUAAUUCUUGCGGACUGAAAAAUUGCCACUUUCUACCUGAAUUUGUUAGCUUGUGUGCUUGUAGUCUGUGAGUGAGACUUACUUGAUUGUAGCUGUAUGCCGUUGGAGAUGAAACAAUAGCUCUUUUCCAUCUCCUUCUGAAUGCCUUGGCCUCAAAGACUUUAAAUUGCUUAGGCUUGGGUGGAGGCCAAAAUACUAGUUUGCAUCAUCUGCAGUGGCUCCUGUCACUUCUGCAUCUAGCUAUGUUUUGUCAUUCUGACUCCUGACAAAGGAAUGGACCUAGUCAGUUGUGCUUUCAUCUGCUCCAAAAUUCUCCUGACAUGACUUCAUGAAAAAGAGGCUCUUACAGGACAAGUAUUUCCUCAGUUCUUUCACAAUCUACUGUUUAAGAGUGUACAAGUUACGCUAUUUGUGUUUUGAUUUUUUUUUUCCUGACUUGUAGCCAGCUUGUGUAAGAAUACUUGCAGAAUGAGAAAAUUUAAAAAAAGAACAGUACUCACACUAUCGAAUCUGUUAUAGAGUGUAUAAUUGUAUUAACACUGAAGCCUAACUGGCUACUUUUUUAACAUAUUGUUAAGUAAUAUUAAAAUCAUGUCUUUCUUUUUGAAAGAUGGAAUACAUUAGUAUGGCAGAAGACCUGUGUCUUGCUUUUUUCUAUGUGGGUGGGGUGAGGGAAGAAACAAAUGUACUUGGAUAGAGUGGUAUUCUAAACUAAAUCUAACCUUCUCUCAGGAUUGGUCAGUGAGUGCUACUUAAUUGUAGCAUGUUUCUCUAGGAACUCUUGUUUUCCACCUCACAUGAUGGGAAAAGCUGUCUGCUAGUGCAGCAAAGAUUCCUGCUGAAUGCAGGAGUUGUUUGUGAAUUCUGUGAAUUACUAUAAUGCUUCUAUUUUAAUAGAUACUUUGAGAAACAAGGUAAUACAAAUAUUUCCAAUGUAAUAUUAGUGUAGAAAUGAAGUAGGUAGGCUCAGUAUUACUACUGUGUAAGUAUUUAACAAUUUAGUGGUGUUUUACAGAUUGCAUAGUACUUUAGUCUUGAUCUGUGUAAAGAUAAUGUACUUAGAAACAUUUUUCUGAUACACUACUAUUUAGAAUAGAGCUACGUUUCAUUUGGAUGGCUGUAUUUACCUAAUUUAUAAGGCCAGUCUUCCGUUUUUAUUUUCCUUACAUAAAAUUUAUUUUCGUUACAGAAAAUAAAACUUCCAUUCAAUAUAUAUUUGAAAGGACAAUGCAGUUCCAGAGCCCACUAGUUUCCUUCUACAGAACCAUUCCCAUGCCUUUUCUUUUUCUUCUACUUGCUAACAUAUUUUGUGAUAUAGCUGCUGAGCUUGAGACUGCCUUGCAAGACAGUACAACUGCACUUGGCUUAAGACUUGAGAAUGUUGAAUGAAUUGUUGCCUCCAUUUCCCCUUAAAGGCCAGUAUGUAGCAGGAGGGUUGGCUUGGCUACAAACCACUGAGAUACCUACAAUUUCAUAUCCCUUUUCUGCCAGUCCUGGAGUUCCCAUCCUAGAUUGUGCUGCUCAUUCAGAAUAUAGUUGCUCAGUUUACAUUCAGCCAUUGUAGGUAAAUGAGAUUUCAGCCUUCCUUAUGUAGAGGAGGGGAUGAUACAAUACCCAUUAUCAAAUUACUGACCUGGGGCUUAAAGGGGAAAACUUUUUUGUUACCCUUCAGGUUCAAGAUGAGGAGGAAAGUAGUUGCAUAGCCUCAUUGUUUUUUAAUGGAGUAUCAUAACAUAUAAUGGAGUAACUUAAUAUUUUUUUUUUUUUUUACCUGGGCUGAAGGAAGAGCAUCUCAAACCUAAAAGCUAAUAUCAGUGCCAUUGAGCUUUUGCUGUCUCUGCAAAUACUGUGUACUGUUCAAAAUACGUGUAACAAUUGCUGGAGAAGAGUGAGCUUUUCUGUUUCUUGGGGCCAUUGAGACUUGCAUCUGUUGCAGCCUGAGUUCAGUCUUAGUUACAUAACAGUUUAGAUGCGUUUAGUAUGGCACAGCAGCUGUGAAAAAUGCUAUUAGAACACCUGAAGCUGGAUGUGUUGGGAAUCCUUGCAGGCUUUCUCAGUUCUAAACUAUAACACAAGGUGGCAGUGUAUGUCAUCACUUAUACCCUCUAUGUUUGCUCUAAAAUUGGGGCAUGGAGUGGAAAAAUGAGUUGAUGUCAUGUGACCAAACAGUGAUGCGGAUUCCAUUUUCUCUAGAUUAGGAAAGCUUUGAAGAAUAUUGAGUUAUUUUUAAUGGGGUUAGAAAACUCCUUAUAGUUUCCACUAAUAAAUUGGGGGAAAAAGUAGUCUUUGUUCUUUGUUAACAAAGAUGUUAUGAAUGGUACAUGAUUAUGACAUGCUUUUCUUUAUUUUGAAAUCCUCAAUUAGGAGAACAGAAGGACUCCUUUGGAAGUCCUAGGGAAUAUAUGUCUGCAUUUAUUAUCUUUUUCAAAUAUACUUGCCUGAAGCUUCAUCUAUUAUCAGAAUAGCUGAUGUGAGCGCAUGCAGUGCACAGAAAGCACGAAGAACAAAUCUGAAUGGAUCUGUUGUUGUUGCACCUUGAUGAGAACUUAAAGGCAAGUCUUGUUUUUCGCAAUUCUUAAUUAAGUGAAGAUAAGUGCAGAGCCGUCUGGGAGGCAUGAGAUUUAAAAGUAAUAAACUAAGUUCUUCGGUUUUGUGGCCUUGGGCAAAUGAGUUAAUUACUGCCACUUUGCUCAUUAAAUGGUUUUAAUAAGGAUUUGCUGAAUUAUGAGCAUGUUUCUCUAGUGCCCAAGUAGCGAUGUGAAAUAUGUUGAAAUGCAACGCUAAGGCCUCUUAUUGGACACAAAAAUGCUUUGCAACUUCAGAUGUGUUAAAUCCAGAGACAGUACGUUCAGGUAUAAUUUCCAGUAGAGGAGACCUAAAUACAUUAUAAUGGAGUAAAUUUUUUGCUGUUGCUCUUUUCUGAGGCAACUGUUGUUCAAAGGAAGAUGUCUUCUCUAUUUUCUUUUCCGUUUUUCCAACUGAACAGAGAAAUAACACCAGACCUCUGGCAUCAUUUCUGUUCUUCACAUUUGUGUGUUCAGUUUCAGCUUUGCUGCAGCUUUUAGAUGUAUUGUUGGGCCUCCUCCAGCCAGUGCUUAGAGAUAUUGAAGAAAGUACCUGUCGUUGCACUCUGAAUCUACAUAAGCUGAUGAAAAAUGCAUCAGGAUUUAAAUCCAGGGCUCUGGAGAGUGGCAAGUUGGGAUGCUGAACUCAUCAGACCGGAUAACCUGUAUUGCUGCCUGCUGUUGCUCCAACAGAUUGCAUGCUGCAAACCAUUCAUCUACAUCAAAUGAUUUUUUGUUAACUGGCAGUAUCUAAACAGUAAUGUCCUCUUCUUCCAUGAAAAGAAAAAAGUGGGAGGAGUCGAGUCACUUGGAAUAAUGUAUUUGGAUAUAUAAGCCUUAUCUCACACACUCUGUAUUCAGGACGUUUUGCAGCUUUUUUGUCCAUUUGUUACUUGACCAUUAACUGGAUUCUACAGUGCAGCUAAGAGCAAUUUAGAUGAGGUUUUCUGAUGGGGUUUUUUUUUUUUUUUUGGUCUUGUUUUCACAGGAUCAGGUUUACAAAAUGGCUGAGAGUAGCUUGGGUCUCUAGUUCAACUCCUGCCUCCAACAGAGCCAUCCAGGGCAGGGUGUCCAAGCUCCCGUGCCCAGGCAGCUUUUGAAGCUUUUCCAGAAAGAGACCUCACUCUUUGGGUCCUUGUGCCAGCUCUUCAUCUGCAUAGUAAAGAAGCAUUUCCUGAUGUUCAGAUAGAUCCUUCAGUGCUUCAGUUUAUUCCCUCUGCCUGUUGUCUUGGCACUGGGCACAACUGAGAAGAGCCUGAUUCUGUCAUCCCUUCAGGUAUUUAUAGGCACUGAUAAGUUACGAGCAAAUAAGAAAUAGCCAAAUUCUAAGAAAAACAGCUCCUCUUGGACCAACUUUAACAGACUAAGGGGGAAAGACAAAUUUUAUAUAGCAUUUCAUCACCUUAUUCACUGACAUAUGUUGAUUAUAUCAGGGUAUAAGUUCUUUGCUCUAGUGAGUGAGUUUUCAUGACUAUAAGUGAGACCACAGCUCUGCAGUCCUGCUGUCUGCGAAAGAUGUGAUUGCUUGAACUGUUUCUUGAAAGUGGGAGUAGUGGUACUCUUGCCUUCCUCUACUCCGUUAUGCAGUGUCAUAUUUUCAAUUUCUUAAUUGAGUUUACUCUUACUUUCUGUAGCAGCCAGCUGAUUAAGUCUUUGUCUCCUGGUUAGCAAAUGAACAGACUCUUCUGUUUGAAAAGCAUAAUGGAAACACGGCUUGCUGUCAUUCAUCUUAUGUGCAGCUUCUACUUGAAUCUUUCUUUGUCAUCCAUCUUACAAGCUUUAAAAGGUAGUCUUCCUUUCUGAGACUGAGGGCAUAUCUGAAAAGUCCCUUUAAAGAAUUGAUGAACCUUUUCAAUAAUGUAACUGGGUUGCAUGUUACUUGCCCAAGCCAUUAGUGGUCUAUAUUGAAACUGUUUCAGUCAUUCAUUCUCCCAGCUGCCUUUGAUCUUGUGUCAUUUACAUUGAUCAUACUUUACAUAUUUCACCAGGUGGGGAAAAUUUCUGAAUGCUUUUCUGUAGAAAAGCUUAUUCUUUCGAUACCAUGAGUUAUGUUCCUUGAGUGAGAGGUAUCUUCACUGUGUAAAAUGGAGUAUUGACUGUACAUUUUUAAAAAUAAAAUAAACCUGGGAAUGCCUGUU